rnacentral:rRNA from 1 species
UCGCCCUUCCAGUUUGAUCCUGGCUCUUAUUGAACGCUGGCGGCAUGCCUAACCUCUGCCAAUUCAACUGAAUUUAUGGGAGCUUGCUCCCAAACUCUAAGUGCCGGACGGGUUUGAAUACUUAGGAAACCCCCGAUCAACCUCGGACGGCAAUUUCAGCCGAAUGCCAUCACCCUGGACGCUCUACGGACGAGCGUCUGGGAUCUUCAGAUCUUGCUAUAUUGAAUGAUACUACAUCUCAUUGGCUGUCUGUUGACAUAAAGGCUCACCAAGGCGACGAUCCGUAGCUGGUUUGAGAGGACGAUCAGCCACACUGGGACUGAGACACGGCCCAGACUCCUACGGGAGGCAGCAGUGGGGAAUAUUGGACAAUGGGGGCAACCCUGAUCCAGCAAUGCCGCGUGUGUGAAGAAGGCCUGCGGGUUGUAAAGCACUUUCAGUAGAGAAGAAAAGCCUACGGUUAAUAACCGUGAGUCUUGACGUUACCUACAGAAGAAGCUCCGGCUAACUCCGUGCCAGCAGCCGCGGUA